GAAAGAGUUCCAAAACAUCUUUUCGUCCGAAUGUCAACCGUCACGUAAUAAAGAAUGCGAAGUUUUAUUUAAAUAAAGAGACUUACAGGCAGAACCUCUGUGAUACAAUACCAGUAACUGUGGCUUUUACUCAUGACUUCCAUCAUGGCCCAGACGCAAAGAAGCCGUGUUAUACAGCUCUACAAAAAUCUUUUGCACAUGGGACGUGACUAUCCUAAAGGAUUUGAUUACUUCAGGGAACGACAGAGAAAAGCUUUUCGAAAUAACAGAAAUAUCACA